rnacentral:rRNA from 1 species
UACGUAGGGUGCAAGCGUUGUCCGGAAUUAUUGGGCGUAAAGAGCUCGUAGGCGGUUUGUCGCGUCUGCUGUGAAAUCCUCAGGCUCAACUUGGGGCGUGCAGUGGGUACGGGCAGACUAGAGUGCGGUAGGGGAGACUGGAAUUCCUGGUGUAGCGGUGGAAUGCGUAGAGAUCCGGAAGAACACCGGUGGCGAAGGCGGUCUGCUGGGCAGUUGCUGGACACUGAGGCGCGACAGCGUGGGGAGCAAACAGG